UUACGGCCAUAUCGCGUUGAAACAUCGGUUCUCGUACGAUCACCGAAGUUAAGCAAUAUCGAGCCUGGGGAGUACAUAGAUGGGUGACCGCUUGGCAAUACCAGGUGUUGUAAG